rnacentral:rRNA from 1 species
UCGAAUUAAAAAGAGCUAUAAUUAUAUAUAUUUAAUUGUUGUAUAAUUUUUUAUAAUAUAGUUAUGGAAAUGAAAUGUUAGUCGUGUUUUAAGAUAUCUAGUUUUUUAAGAAAUAAAUUUAAUUUAGUAUUUUUAAUGUAUAUUAUUAAUUUAAUAGUAAUAUAUUUAAAGUAUAUAAUAUUUUAAGGGAUAAGCUUUAAAAUAGAAUAUUAAAAAUUUAGUUGGUUUAGUUAAAAGGUUAGUAGGAUUGGAAAUGUUUAUCUUUAAUUUGUUAUAAUUAACUUUAGGUUAAAUAUGAUUUAUAUAGGUUUUAAUUUUUUUAUUAAAAAUAUUUAUUUAAUUAUAUUUUAUAUGGUAUAAUGAUAUAAUUAGUAUAGAUUUAUGUGUUUAUAAGUUAAUAAUUAAGGUUAGAUUAAGGAAUUCGGCAAAUUUAUUUUUCGCCUGUUUAUUAAAAACAUGUCUUUUUGAUUAUAAUUUAAAGUCUAACCUGCCCAAUGAGUAGUUAAAUGGCCGCGGUAUAUUGACCGUGCAAAGGUAGCAUAAUCAUUAGUUUUUUAAUUGAAAGCUGGAAUGAAUGGUUGGACGAGAAAAUAGCUGUCUCAAUUUAAUUUAAAAUAGAAUUUUAUUUAUAAGUAAAAAAGCUUAUAUAUAUUUAAAAGACGAGAAGACCCUAUAGAAUUUUAUAUAUUUGUAUAAAUAUUAUUUUUAGUAUUAUAUGUUAUAUUUAUAUACAUGUAUUUUGUUGGGGCGAUAGAAAAAUUGAAUUAACUUUUUUUUUAUUAAUUCAUUAAUUUAUGAGUAAUUGAUCCAUUUUUUAUGAUUAUAAGAUUAAAUUACCUUAGGGAUAACAGCGUUAUUUUUUUUUAGAGUUCUUAUCGAAAAAAGAGUUUGCGACCUCGAUGUUGGAUUAAAAUUAACUUUUGGUGUAGGGGCUAAAUAGUUAGGUCUGUUCGA